ACCUCUUUAGUAUAUUUGUACGACUGCCUUCCAAGCAGUAAGAUUAGAAAUCUCUAAAGGAGGUA
rnacentral:tRNA from 1 species